UCCCUAAAAGAAUAUUCCUUGCCAAAGCUGACCAUGAGUUGGGCUGUGAUUUUCUUAGCACUCUUCAUUUACUGCACAGGUAUUGACUGUCAAGAAAGUUGGAUUCAGCCUCCCUCCAGCUCCGUGUCCCCAGGUGGAACCAUUGCGAUCUCCUGCAUAACCCAAGUUACUGGUACUAUUUACUGGCAUCAACAGAAACCAGGAAAAUCCCCUCGUUUUGUCCACUGUGAUGGCUGCAGUAACAGGGGAGAAGGGAUCCCAAAUCGGUUCACUGCCACCAGAUCUGGAACUACAGGAUCUUUAAGCAUCACCAAUGCACAGGCUGAAGACGAGGCAGAUUAUUAUUGUGGUAGAUGGAACAGUGCAGGCAACGCGUUCCACGGUGGAAGCCUCUCUGUCCCCAUCAAGGAGGAUGAUGGGUACAGGAGCAUGGAAGAGGAAGAUGCAGGGGAAGCCCAGGGCAUCAUCAGCCCCCUUCUGGUUUGA